rnacentral:rRNA from 1 species
AUUGAACGCUGGCGGUAUGCUUAACACAUGCAAGUCGAACGGCAGCAUGGUCUAGCUUGCUAGACUGAUGGCGAGUGGCGGACGGGUGAGUAACGCGUAGGAAUAUGCCUUGAAGAGUGGGACAACUUGGGGAAACUCAAGCUAAUACCGCAUGUACUCGAGAGAGUAAAGCUGAGGACCUUUAGGCCUGGCGCUUUAAGAUUAGCCUGCGUCCGAUUAGCUAGUUGGUAGGGUAAAGGCCUACCAAGGCGACGAUCGGUAGCUAGUCUGAGAGGAUGAUCAGCCACACUGGAACUGAGAGACGGUCCAGACUCCUACGGGAGGCAGCAGUGGGGAAUAUUGGACAAUGGGGGGAACCCUGAUCCAGCAAUGCCGCGUGUGUGAAGAAGGCCUGAGGUUGUAAAGCACUUUCAGUGGGGAGGAGGUUUGGAAGGUUAAGAGCUAUUCAAAUGGACGUUGCCCACAGAAGAAGCACCGGCUAACUCCGUGCCAGCCGCCGCAGUAA